UACGUAGGGAGCAAGCGUUGUCCGGAAUCAUUGGGCGUAAAGCGCGCGUAGGCGGCCUUGUAAGUCCGUUGUGAAAGCAAAGGCUCAACCUUUGAAAGCCGAUGGAUACUGCAAGGCUGGAGUCCGGAAGAGGCGAGUGGAAUUCCAGGUGUAGCGGUGAAAUGCGCAGAUAUCAGGAGGAACACCAAUGGCGAAGGCAGCUCGCUGGGACGGUACUGACACUGAGACGCGAAAGCGUGGGGAGCAAACGGG
rnacentral:rRNA from 1 species